rnacentral:misc_RNA from 1 species
AACGCACCUUGCGCUCCUUGGUAUUCCUCGGAGCAUGCCUGUUUGAGUAUCAUGAAAUUAUCAAAAUAAAUCUUUUGUUCACUCGAUCGAUUUAAUUUUGGACUUGGGGGUCUGCAGAUUCACGUCUGCUCCCCUUGAAUGCAUUAGCUGGAUCACUGUAGACUCGGUUCCACUCGGCGUGAUAAGUAUCACUCGCUGAGGACACUUUUGUAAAAGAAGUGGCCGGGACUAUCAGAGAACCGCUUCCAAUAGUCCAUUUGCUUGGACAAUUACAUUUAUGAUCUGAUCUCAAAUCAGGUAGGACUACCCGCUGAACUUAA